UGAGGAAUAUUGCGCAAUGGGGGCAACCCUGACGCAGCAACGCCGCGUGAGUGAGGAAGGUUUUCGGACCGUAAAGCUCUGUCGAGCGGGAAGAAAUGCAUGGUGGCUAAUAUCCAUCAUGCUUGACGGUACCGCUAAAGGAAGCACCGGCUAACUCCGUGCCAGCAGCCGCGGUAAUACGGGGGGUGCGAGCGUUGUUCGGAAUUAUUGGGCGUAAAGAGCGUGUAGGCGGCCGAAUAAGUCAGAUGUGAAAUCCCUGGGCUUAACCCAGGACGGGCAUUUGAAACUAUUCGGCUAGAGUAGGGGAGAGGAAAGUGGAAUUCCUGGUGUAGAGGUGAAAUUCGUAGAUAUCAGGAGGAACCCCGGUGGCGAAGGCGACUUUCUGGCCCUAUACUGACGCUGAGACGCGAGAGCGUGGGUAGCAA
rnacentral:rRNA from 1 species